rnacentral:rRNA from 1 species
AUUGAACGCUGGCGGUAUGCUUAACACAUGCAAGUCGAACGGCAGCACAGUAUGUAGCAAUACAUAUGGGUGGCGAGUGGCGGACGGGUGAGUAACGCGUAGGAAUCUACCCUAAAGCGGGGGACAACCCGAGGAAACUCGGGCUAAUACCGCAUAAUCUCGAAAGAGUAAAGCUGGGGCAACCUGACACUUUAGGAGGAGCCUGCGUCCGAGUAGCUAGUUGGUGAGGUAAAGGCUCACCAAGGCGAUGAUCGGUAGCUGGUCUGAGAGGAUGAUCAGCCACACUGGGACUGAGACACGGCCCAGACUCCUACGGGAGGCAGCAGUGGGGAAUAUUGGACAAUGGGGGCAACCCUGAUCCAGCAAUACCGCGUGUGUGAAGAAGGCCUUAGGGUUGUAAAGCACUUUAGUUGGGGAAGAAGGAUAGUUGUUUAAGAGAUGAUUAUUUUGACGGUACCCAAAGAAUAAGCACCGGCUAACUCUGUGCCAGCCGCCGCGGUAA